GAUGAAGAACGUAGCGAAAUGCGAUAAGUAAUGUGAAUUGCAGAAUUCAGUGUAUCAUCGAAUCUUUGAACGCACAUUGCGCCCCUUGGUAUUCCAUGGGGCAUGCCUGUUCGAGCGUCAUUUGUACCUUCAAGCUCUGCUUGGUGUUGGGUGUUUGUCUCGCCUCUGCGUGUAGACUCGCCUCAAAACAAUUGGCAGCCGGCGUAUUGAUUUCGGAGCGCAGUACAUCUCGCGCUUUGCACUCAUAACGACGACGUCCAAAAGUACAUUUUUACACUCUUGACCUCGGAUCAGGUAGGGAUACCCGCUGAACUUAAGCAUAUCAAUAAGCGGAGGA
rnacentral:misc_RNA from 1 species